rnacentral:rRNA from 1 species
ACGGCUCAGUAACACGUGGAUAACCUGCCCUUGGGUCCGGCAUAACCCCGGGAAACUGGGGAUAAUUCCGGAUAACGCACAUAUGCUGGAAUGCUUUAUGCGUAAAAUGGAUUCGUCCGCCCAAGGAUGGGUCUGCGGCCUAUCAGGUAGUAGUGGGUGUAAUGUACCUACUAGCCAACAACGGGUACGGGUUGUGAGAGCAAGAGCCCGGAGAUGGAUUCUGAGACAUGAAUCCAGGCCCUACGGGGCGCAGCAGGCGCGAAAACUUUACAAUGCGGGAAACCGUGAUAAGGGGACACCGAGUGCCAGCAUCAUAUGCUGGCUGUCCGGGUGUGUAAAAUACACCUGUUAGCAAGGGCCGGGCAAGACCGGUGCCAGCCGCCGCGGUAACACCGGCGGCCCGAGUGGUGAUCGUGAUUAUUGGGUCUAAAGGGUCCGUAGCCGGUUUGGUCAGUCCUCCGGGAAAUCUGAUAGCUCAACUAUUAGGCUUUCGGGGGAUACUGCCAGGCUUGGAACCGGGAGAGGUAAGAGGUACUACAGGGGUAGGAGUGAAAUCUUGUAAUCCCUGUGGGACCACCUGUGGCGAAGGCGUCUUACCAGAACGGGUUCGACGGUGAGGGACGAAAGCUGGGGGCACGAACCGGAUUAGAUACCCGGGUAGUCCCAGCCGUAAACGAUGCUCGCUAGGUGUCAGGCAUGGCGCGACCGUGUCUGGUGCCGCAGGGAAGCCGUGAAGCGAGCCACCUGGGAAGUACGGCCGCAAGGCUGAAACUUAAAGGAAUUGGCGGGGGAGCACAACAACGGGUGGAGCCUGCGGUUUAAUUGGAUUCAACGCCGGG